UACGGGGGGAGCAAGCGUUGUUCGGAUUUACUGGGCGUAAAGGGCGCGUAGGCGGCCUGUGCAAGUCAGUUGUGAAAUCUCCGGGCUUAACUCGGAAAGGUCAACUGAUACUGCUCGGCUAGAGUGCGGAAGGGGCAACUGGAAUUCUUGGUGUAGCGGUGAAAUGCGUAGAUAUCAAGAGGAACACCUGCGGCGAAGGCGGCAUCCUGGACCAACACUGACACUGAGGAGCGAAAGCCAGGGGAGCAAACGGG
rnacentral:rRNA from 1 species